GAUACUUGGAGGCUUUUUUGUUGUUGUUUUAAAUAACUGGAUAUUCUUGAAUAGAAACUGGCAUAAUCCAAACAUGGUUUGCAUGCAACAAGCCUUGGAUCCAGCCCCAGCUAGUCUCUAACCAUCUGACUACCCUCAUGUGGCGGCACUGUCUUGAAUCCACAUCUGGGAUGAGUCUGAAAAAUUGAUAAAGUACUGUACAUUUAUUUGUGAAUGUAAAUUUUAUCUAGACAAUCCUCUCUAAUCCUUCAACACAUGAUAAUGUGUCACUGUCUACUACAAGUGUGUGACAAGACACUACAACAAGCAAUGUCUGUCAUGACGUGGCUGCAUGGCUGGACUGAAAUUCACAACUCUGGGGUUAAGAUGAAAAACUGCCCUCCUGUAAAGAAGACUUCAGAUUGACCAUGUCCAGAUUCCUAAGGACACUGAAAACUGAUUCAGAAGGAAGCCUUGGAUCUAGCCCCAGUUGUGCAACAGGGGGAGGAGUUUGGUUUCUCACUGCUGGUUUACAGUUGUAGAACUUCCAGACACAAGGUGGACGAGUUUCAGUUGCUAACCAUCUGACUACUGCCAUGAUGUGGGACCAGUUUACAAAUUUAUUGACCACACAUUAAAAGUCAAAAGAACAGCAA